UUGACACUAUGGCCUUUUGGCUAAGAUCAAAACGUAGUAUCUGUUCUUAUCAGCUUAAUAUCUGAUAUGGUCCCUGUUUGGGGCCAUCGAUAAUUUUUAGAACGAAGCGAAGAGUUAGGGGCUCGCUCCGCCUUUGCCACAGGUUGGCCUGGUAUAGCAGUACUUCCAGGAUUCAGCCCAUCUCCC